rnacentral:lncRNA from 1 species
AAAAAAAAAAAGACCCUCAUGCUGGAUCGGGUAAGACAACCCGACUGAAUCCCUCCAAUUUAAACCGAACCAACUCGUGGGUCGACCCGUUUAGGGUUCAAUAAUGGGGUUUAAAGGUUUUCAAUUCUCUCCAGAACUCAAUUCUAUCUUCAAUUUUUCUUUCCAAUCUUUCAUUUUGAAUAAUUACGAAGAAUUUUUCACUCACAAAUGCAAAAUCUCUGAUGCAUCAACGUACAGUAUUAUCCAGUUAUCGGGAACUCAAAUUUUUUUCACCAAAAAACAAUUUUUGUAACCCUAGAAAUACUGUAUUUCGUGCAUUUAUGUAUAAUAGAAGGGCGCCUGACCCGAAUGAUCCAUCCACCUGGAUGAAAGAAGAUAGUAUAUCACGUUGUUGUAAAAUGUGGAUGGAUAGUUUCGAGAACCCAAUAACACAGUUAGUAAUUUAACUGAUUAUUUAAGGAGAUUUGAGUUAUGGGUAUUGGCAUAUCAAAAAGUAUCAGCUGAUGAUAUGGGGGCGUAUAUGCCAAGGAGCGCGAUUACGCGUUCAGCACUUGAGGAUUUAUUGGCAUUGAGAAAUGCACUUCUUGAUAAUAGGUUUAAAUGGGGUGCUAGGUUGGAGUUUUUUAUUAAGUCUCCGAGGGAUAAGAUGGAUUACGAGUCGUUGUCUAAGAGGAAGAUUAAAGCUAUAUUGACUACAACGCAGCCUAGUCCGUUUCAGGAUAGGAUAGUGCAGGAGGUUUUGUUUAUGAUAUUGGAGCCGAUUUAUGAGGCUAGGUUUUCGGAGAAGUCAUUUGCUUUUCGACCUGGUAGGACUGCGCAUACAGCUUUGAGGGUUAUUAGGAGAAGUUUUGCGGGGUAUUUGUGGUAUAUAAAAGGGGAUUUAAGUACAGUUUUGGAUGGGAUGAAGGUUGGGAUGGUUAUUAGUGCUUUAAUGAGGGAUGUUAGAGAUAAGAAGGUGGUUGAUUUGAUAAAGGCUGCGUUAACUACUCCUGUGAUAACUACUAGGCCUGAGGAUGUUGAGAAAAAGAAGACGAAAAGAAAGUAUCAGAAGAAGAGAGUGUUAGCAGAUGAUGAGCCGAAGCCUGAUCCAUACUGGCUGGAAUCAUUCUUUGGGUUUGCUCCAGAGGAGGCUGAGAAAGUUCCUUCAUGGGGGCAUUGUGGUAUACUCAGUCCACUUCUGGCUAAUGUUUGCCUUGAUGAGUUGGACCGCUGGAUGGAAGGUAAGAUUCAGGAGUUUUAUCGGCCUUCGAAGAAUGAUGUUAUUUGGAAUAGUCCAGAAGGGGAAAUAGAACAAGGAAAUCCUUCUNNNNNNN